UACGUAGGGUGCGAGCGUUGUCCGGAAUUAUUGGGCGUAAAGAGCUCGUAGGCGGUUUGUCACGUCUGCUGUGAAAUCCCGAGGCUCAACCUCGGGCCUGCAGUGGGUACGGGCUGACUGGAGUGCGGUAGGGGAGAAUGGAAUUCCUGGUGUAGCGGUGGAAUGCGCAGAUAUCAGGAGGAACACCGAUGGCGAAGGCAGUUCUCUGGGCCGUAACUGACGCUGAGGAGCGAAAGCGUGGGGAGCGAACAGG
rnacentral:rRNA from 1 species